AAAGUAGAUUUCACUCUUUGGUCCUUGUUUCUCUUUUUGCAAGCAUUUUGUAACCUCACAUAACAUUCUCAACUAGGUGACCACUAUCGCUUUCUCUCUGCGAUUCUUUUUCUGGUGGUCAGAGAUCCUUUUAACACUUAUCCGCAAGUUUUAUCGCUCCGUCGGUCCUUCAUUCCGGUUUGCUGAUGACCUCUCCCCUGUCUCACUUUGCGGUGAAGACAUUUGUGAAGAGUCCACUUAAUCGUCUUGCUAUGUCGACAAUCCCAAACAAA